GACCUAAACCAUCGCUUCGGCGGUGGCAUGGUCGGGAGACCGGUAAAGGACAGAAAACCCGUUGUGGGGACUGCCUUUACCGGCCAUGUCGGGAAACCGGCGUGGAUGGGGCUUCGGCUCCGUC
rnacentral:sRNA from 1 species